AACGCACCUUGCGCUCCUUGGUAUUCCUCGGAGCAUGCCUGUUUGAGUAUCAUGAAAUCAUCAAAGCCGGUCUUUUGUUAAUUCAAUAGACUUCGCUUUGGACUUGGAGGCUCUGCAGAUUCACGUCUGCUCCUCUCAAAUGCAUUAGCUGGAUCUCGGUGAACUUGGUUCCACUCGGCGUGAUAAGUAAUUGCUCGCUGAGGACGCCCGUUAAAAAAGGCGGCCAGGAUUUACUGACGAACCGCUUCCAACGGUCUAUUGGCUUAGACGACAACCUUUAUGAUCUGAUCUCAAAUCAGGUAGGACUACCCGCUGAACUUAA
rnacentral:misc_RNA from 1 species